rnacentral:rRNA from 1 species
CAGUCGCCACGGUAAUACGUAGGGUGCAAGCGUCAAUCGGAAUUACUGGGCGUAAAGCGUGCGCAGGCGGUUUGUUAAGACAGAUGUGAAAUCCCCGGGCUCAACCUGGGAACUGCAUUUGUGACUGGCAAGCUAGAGUAUGGCAGAGGGGGGUGGAAUUCCGCGUGUAGCAGUGAAAUGCGUAAAUAUGCGGAGGAGCACCGAUGGCGAAGGCAGCCCCCUGGGCCAAUACUGACGCUCAUGCACGAAAGCGUGGGGAGCAAACAGGAUUAGAUACCCCGGUAGUCCCUGUCUCUUAUAC